rnacentral:tRNA from 1 species
UAAGCUGAAGCCAAAUGUACAGGCGCUUAGCUGUUAACUAAGAUAAAGUAGGAUAAAUACCUACCAGUUUAG